AAUAAUUUUAUAUCUACUAUGUUAACUCUUUUUUACAAAAUUUGAAAUUGGUCGUCAACAGGCCAUUUACAAGGAAAUAAAUCAUAAAUUAUGGCAGCUUCUUAUCAAAAUAGAGCAUAAUUGUGAAUUCCCUUAAAAAUUUCUACUUAAUCUUAAAAUUUAACCGAAUUUACUAAACAUAAUCCUCGUUAGUUUACACAGUUAUUCAGGUUAUUAUACAAUAUAUUUUGUAUAUGGUUUCAUUUAUAACUCAAUAACAAUUUAAAACACUAUAUUCUACAAUAGUAAUUUCAACAAAAAAAUAUAUACUUACAAUAUUAAUAAUGCGUUUAAACUUCCAGGAUAACAGGAAAGUGCACGGAGAAAACUACUUUAUCCUUGUUCCCGAAUAUCAUGAAAUGAGGUCGUUGAAAUAGUCGGGACAUUCUGUAAAGUGAAAGAAGAUAAGAUUAAAGAAAAAUAUGGAAGUAAGAGUAAAUAUUGUUUAAAGGAAGCGCCUGCCUUAAUACCUCUCUUCUUCUUCCGCUCCGUCAUAAAACAAACCGUAGAUACCUAGAUGCACAUCUUCCAGGCGUUUGUUUCGCGACAAGCUACAUAUUUAUAGUAGCCUUCAUUCAAAUCACCAGACAUGGAUUUAAUUUUAUUUAAAAAUUCAAAUUUAAUGAAUUUAAUAAAGAUACUGAUCAAAAGCUGUAUUUAAAUAUGUAUAUUAGCUAUGGAAAAGAAUUCAGUAUGUAGCUUUAAUUUCAUAUUAUUUAAAAUAUAUCUUUUAUAUAGAAAAAUACUUUUGAAAUGGUUUCUUCUAUAUUUACAUUAGAAAUAUUUUAAUCAUUGAAAUACCUUCUCUUGAUGUCAGUGACUUCCUCUUUCUAUUUUUUUGUUCAUUUUUAUUCUGUAUUCCUUAUUGUUUUUCGUUCUAAGCUUCUUAGUCAUUUUUAUAGUUGGAACAUAGCUACAUUUAAAGUUAAAAUCUCCUUUGAUAGAAUUGUAUCAUUUCCUACACUAAUUGUAAGCACAGAAUUCGUUCCAGCAACUUUAGCAACGUUGCUAUUAAGCUAAAACGCAAAUGAAAUGCAAUAUUAAAUAUGUACUUCAUCAACAUCUUACACGUUGUAUCUACGACUAUUUUCUAAUCAGAAUGCUAAACGAAAAGUUAUUUUAAAAACUAAACGUCGGCGCUGUAUACACGCUAAGAGGCGGGAAAAUAUUUGAACUUGCAUUAAAGCUAUAAACCAUAAAACCAAAAAUACAGAAUUUGUUUUUUACAUCUACUAUAUAUAUAUAUAAUGAUUAUAAUAAAAAUUGUAUUAUGAAAAUAAACAAAUGUUGUAUAAUCGUAUUCCUAUUUCAAUUAUUUUUUCGAAAGGCACGUUUUUAAUAACUGCGGAAAUAAGAAAUUUGAAAUUUAGUACUCUCGAACGGAAUUGACGAAUCGUAAUGAUUUACAGCAAUCCAGUAAUAGAUCUAUCUCUAAGCUAUCCUAGAAAUAACAUUAUAACACCUGUUUCAUUGGUUGGCAUUUAAAUACUAUAUUCAAGCAAUAAUUUGUUGCGACUAUAAUCAACGAGAUUGUGAUAUGGUGAGAUUCUAUUGUUAACAGAACCAGUUAAAAUAUACAAACCGUUAGUUACACUUUGAUGACCCAUUCCUUCACUCUGAUUUACACUUACAUUUGCAAAGUGACACUGCAAAUCUAAGAAUGACGAUGAUCUGAAUAUUAGUAAGUAACUAAGUUCAUAUAUACAUAUUUACAAUGUAUAUACGUAGGUUUCUCCUUCCGACAUAAACCAGUCAAUGACAGUUACAAGACUAAUCAACCAAUUUGUACCAUAUUAGUCAAUACGUAUUGCUAUAUAUAUAAUCAUGUUAAUUCAUCGUUUAUUCUGUAAUAAUAGUUACAUUUUAUUUAUGUUAUGACAGUUAUCACUUAUUACUGUAACAUAUCUAUUCAAAAAUAAAUCACACGAUUAAUUUAAAUACUUUGAUAAUUCUCUAAAAUAUAAUAAUAAUACGAUUAAUAAUAUAAUUAUUAUUCAUAAUUAGUAAUAAAAAUUUUUAAGAUAUUAUCUAUUACGUACCUUCCGCCAUUACUUAACAUUUGCGUUAGUAAAUAAACAAUUGUGCAAAUUAAUCUUACACUGAAGUAACAUAAUUAUAUUAUAUUUGUUACAAGGCGAUCAUAUAUGUAUAAUAACGGUUACAGCGCAAAAUAAUACAUCAUAUUCGCCCUGUCGUGAAUUAUUCUCCUAAUGUUUCACGUUUCCGAUAGUUAUCGUUAACGAUAGCAAUAUGACGGUGCAUCGUAUAUAUAAUAAUAUAUACAGAAAUAAUUCUAAGCGUUUAUAUAACAAUUAAUGCUGAAUUUAACGAGUAAGUACCAUUUAGAUGUCUCCAUUAAAAUUCCCAUCAACCCCGGUUAUAUAAUGUGUCCCGGAAGUUUACAAUCAAAAUAACCAAUGUAUUGACAGAAACACGUGUCACAAAUUGAUAAAUUGUAAUGCUACAUCAAUUUCACGAUUAAAAUAUCUUAUCUUUUCCAUUUAAAUAAAUAUCUCUUUCUCCAAACACAAAGCGUGUUUUUAAUCUAUAUAUAAAUUUUAUAUACACGCACAAAGGGUUCUAUGCCACAAAUAAACAUUAUUUGUUAUGUACUCCGUUAUUAAGUAAAAAUUUACUCUUUUACAUUUAUACGUGAGUAUGAAUGCACUCAAUUUUUGAAACAUCUUAUAUAUGCAACUACAUCAGAGAUCCUUAUUUUAUACAUAUAUUUAAAGGAUAGCAAUCCACAUCUCUUAUCGCGUUUCUGAAUGCUAAAUAUUACUAACAAAAUUAUUGUAUAUAUAAUACGAGGAAGUAAAUCUAUAUUUUUAACAUUGCGGUUUUUCAAACAUUACACUUGAUAUUCUAUACUUAUGUACAUUUUUAUUCGCGAAUUUAUUACCUGAUUUUUUCUUGCUCUUCCUUAUCAUUUAUGCAAUUUAGAUUAUACUCAUAUUACUAAUACAUAUAAAAUCAGAUUGCUUCUUCUUGAUACAUACCGAUGUGACAUUCUUUCAAAACGAUUAUAAUAUCCAUAAACAAUAACGGUAGCAAUGAAGGGUUACAAUAGCAAUAUAAAAUACACACACAUACAACGUAUAAAUAUUCAUAAAAUACUUUCCAAAUAGUAUAGUGGCUUAAUUAGUCAAAUACAAAUUAUAUAUAUUUGCAUAAUUAUUUAAAUCAUUUGUCACUGAGAAGGCAUUUCCUUACAAACUUUUUAAGUUUUUAACAUGAUGAGAGGUAUUUUCACAAGUUACAAAGAGACGCUUAUAAACCAUUAUUACUUAAACGCAACAUUAAUACCAUUUAACAAAUAAUAUUGUUGUUGAUAAAUAUAUGAUACAUAAUAUUUACAAAAACAAUUCUUUUUCUUUAAAAUUGCAACGAAAAGUUUCAUAAUGAGAGUUAUAAAUAAAAACAUAUACAUAAAGCAAAUUUACAAAAAAUUUUUCAUUAAUACAGAAACAUUGUUUCAUACAGUUGCCAUUUUAAGUAAUUUAUUUCGGUCCUUUUAAUCUUCACUAUAUUUAUUCUUUAUUAUUGAUCUUUAUUAUUAUUGAUACUAGUCAUAAACUAAAUGUAGUUAAAUUAUUUAAAUAAAUUCUAGCUCCAAGACUAAAAUUUUGUAAAAAUAUUAAGAAAUAAAAAGAGAAUUAAGGGAAGGAAUUAUUAAGAUGUGAAAAACAAUUGAAUCUUCUAUUACCUAAAUUUAUAUGAAACAUUAUUCAUAAAUCUAAUUGGAGCUAAUUUUGCAUGGCACAAUAAUCAAGGUUAUUUCCUUGCGAAUGUUACAAGCUUUAUUAAAUAUUAAACACAUUCAUACAUACAUUCAAAUCUUUUUCGUUGCAUCACAUACGCAUAUAUUAUGCAUCAUUAUUCGUAAGAACAUCAAAUUUUUUUCAACUGCGUUUCAAAAUAUUACAUUGCCCUUGCACAUGUAGCUUGUAUUAUCUUCUCUUUGGUCGUCCCAAAAGACUUUAGUUGCUUCACAGGUUUUGUAAUCACAAGAAUUAUUGUUAGUUUCUCCACAUAAAUUAA